GGUAGCGUGUCCGAGCGGCCUAAGGAGCACGCCUCGAAAGCGUGUGAGGGUUCACGCCCUCCGUGGGUUCGAAUCCCACCGCUACCG
rnacentral:tRNA from 1 species